GCGACACGCAGCCUCAGUCUCCGUCAGCCAAUUCGGCCUCCUGGGCGGUUGCGCGCUCAGCCCCCUCCCUUUGUGCCCGUGCGUAGCUUCCUCGCUCUGCUCGCCUCAUUUUGAGGCGGUUGGGCUGCGCCUGUGGGGGUGGGGUCCGGAGCAAGCGACGGAGCCAAUGAGGCGCGGCCGCUGCAUCAGGCCGACUGGCAGCAGCGGCUGAGGUAGAGGCGGAAGGAGGCGGUGGCUGUGGCGGCGGAGGGAUAAGAUGGCGGCGCCCGUCUUUCUGGGAGUGUUGGUGCUGUGGUGGGACCGGGUGGCCCAGUAUGCCGUGUGCGCAGCCCGGAUCCUGCUCUCCAUCUGUGCCUGCCACGUGGAGUGGGAGUAGGAGAGGGACCCCGAGCACCCGGCCCUCUGCAACCUGGUGCCCUGGAAUCUUUGCCCAGAGUCCAGUACCUCCUUCCUGUCCAGGAUCACCUUCUCAUGGAUCACAGGAGUUGUCUUGAAUCAGCCUGUGCUGACCAUGUGGUCUUGGAGACACUAACAUUGUCCCCCCAAGUCCAUCACCUUGAAUCUGAUAAACACAUGAGCCAUGAGCAGCUUAAGUAUCUGCAGAAGGCUUGGCCUAGGACAGCCAUACAGUGGACUGUUCUUGCUUUAGCUUCAGAUUUGGGUUUUUAUUUAUUUAUUUAUUUAUUUGUUGCCUAGACAUCAUGUUCAACCUGACAGAUUUGGGUUUUUUAAAUAUUAGGUAUAGUUAUUAUUGACAUUGUUUUCCUCCCAUCCCCCACUCCUUAGAAAAAUAAUACUGUCUCACCAUAGGAAACGUGGGUU